rnacentral:rRNA from 1 species
UUAAAUUGAAGAGUUUGAUCAUGGCUCAGAUUGAAUGCUGGCGGCAGGCCUAACACAUGCAAGUCGAACGGUAACAGGAAACAGCUUGC